rnacentral:rRNA from 2 species
ACAUGCAAGUCGAACGGAAAGGCCCUGCUUUUGUGGGGUGCUCGAGUGGCGAACGGGUGAGUAACACGUGAGUAACCUGCCCUUGACUUUGGGAUAACUUCAGGAAACUGGGGCUAAUACCGGAUAGGAGCUCCUGCUGCAUGGUGGGGGUUGGAAAGUUUCGGCGGUUGGGGAUGGACUCGCGGCUUAUCAGCUUGUUGGUGGGGUAGUGGCUUACCAAGGCUUUGACGGGUAGCCGGCCUGAGAGGGUGACCGGCCACAUUGGGACUGAGAUACGGCCCAGACUCC